UGGGGAAUUUUGGACAAUGGGCGAAAGCCUGAUCCAGCAAUGCCGCGUGUGUGAAGAAGGCCUUCGGGUUGUAAAGCACUUUUUGUCCGGAAAGAAAUCCUUGGCUCUAAUACAGUCGGGGGAUGACGGUACCGGAAGAAUAAGCACCGGCUAACUACGUGCCAGCAGCCGCGGUAAUACGUAGGGUGCAAGCGUUAAUCGGAAUUACUGGGCGUAAAGCGUGCGCAGGCGGUUUGCUAAGACCGAUGUGAAAUCCCCGGGCUCAACCUGGGAACUGCAUUGGUGACUGGCAGGCUAGAGUAUGGCAGAGGGGGGUAGAAUUCCACGUGUAGCAGUGAAAUGCGUAGAGAUGUGGAGGAAUACCGAUGGCGAAGGCAGCCCCCUGGGCCAAUACUGACGCUCAUGCACGAAAGCGUGGGGAGCAAACAGGAUUAGAUACCCUGGUAGUCCACGCCCUAAACGAUGUCAACUAGUUGUUGGGGACUUCAUUUCCUUAGUAACGUAGCUAACGCGUGAAGUUGACCGCCUGGGGAGUACGGUCG
rnacentral:rRNA from 1 species